ensembl:lncRNA
UGUCAAAACUGCCUUUGGGAUAUGUUUGUAAGGCCAGAUUUAUAAGUUUUGGAGAUGUAAACUUUUAGAUUUUCGGUUAUUAUCCAUGGAUUUUUUGGGCUUUGUGAAAAUAUACAGUACAGAAAAAUUUUGCAAGUCCAGCAGAAAUCAGCUUUAUGGGGACAGACUGGGUAGAAAAAUUAAUGGAGAGUAUAAAGCCACUGCAGACUCCUUAGAUUACUAGUGGAUUUGAAAAUGAACAGGUAUUUGCAUGAACGAUAGUUUGACUGCUUAUUAUGCUUUCUCUCUUCUCUGGUCACAUUACAUGAUGUAACCCAAUGACUCAGAAAUUGGAUCUGUAUGGGGAAAUGUGGAUGACCACAAUUCCCUACUAGUCACUGCUUCUACAGACAAGAUAUAUUCCAUCAUCCCCUAGAAUCAUUUUGGAAAUCAACUGGAACUCAAGAUUUGUUAGGGAAGUUUGCUAAAAUGCUUACAGAUAGAGCAAACAGUGCUGAUUGAUGGCUGUUCCAGAGACUUCUACCCCUCACCUCCAAGUAACCUUCUGGAUGAAAGCCCUUUGUUUUACACAGUCCUGCUCGCUGUCCUCACUUCAAAAGUGCACCAUAAUCUAUGAUGUUAGUGUUUGUUCUCAGGGGCAUCAUUAUCUUCAAUUCUGCUGUCUGUAUGCCUCUAAGAACUGUUCUUUAUGCAUGCUGUUUUAUGUAAGCCUGUAUUUAUGAAACAGAACUGAUCAAGUCGGUGGGAUUUACCCAUGAAUCUGGGAUGGGACUGACACAUCCACUCUCCCUACUCUUACAAUACAUGGUAGUUUUAAAAGUUUGGAUUUUACUAGAAAUAGAAGUUUUUGAUUUAGCCAUAAAGUAAUUUUCUCUUAGUGUGAUUUUGGAGCACUAGCAUCAGAAUCACCCAAGGUGCUCAUUAGAAAGGUGGGAUAUUAGGCCCCACUCAAAACUUACAGAAUCAGAAUAUCUGGGAGUAGAGCUCAAGAAUCUAUAUUUUAAAUAAGUUUCCCAGGAGAUUUAAUGCACAUUAGAGUUUGUAAAUUGCUACCGAAAGCACUUUGGGUCAAGGUGUUUGACAUAAGAUGCUUAAAAUUGACUUUCUUCCUUCUUAUUUUGUAUGAAUUCCUUUCCUUUCUCCUUAUCUCUGUCUUCUCUCUCCCUAAAUGUAACAGAAAUAUUUGGAAAAAUCUGUGAUUUAUAGGAAAUUUCAAGUUCUAUUCUGCAGGUGUCUUUGACAUUCAAUACAUAUUGGAUCUGGGGCUGAUCAUAUAUAUUGAGGAUCCUUAAAUGAUUUCAGACAUAGGUCGCUGCCAAUUUUCUUCUGUCCCAAAGGAUCUGCCUUUGUAGUUAGUCUUCCAUGGCAUCACCAUCUCCUUCCUCUUAGACAGAUAUUAAAAAAUAAAUGUCAUGUCUUUGGGUUACAUGGUGGCUUUCACACUUGUCCAGUUAGAGGGCACAUGGCAGGCAUAAGGUUCAAAAAAUACUUAGUGCCACAAAAUAUAACAAACUUAAAAUAUUUAAAUAAUACUUUAUGUUAAAUAUUAAUUAUCUGCUUUGGUGAAGAACCCAGUUCUUGUGUAACAGCAUUUUGACAGUAGAAUGCUUCAUUUAAACUCUUGUGGUUUGAGGUUCAAAGGUGAGAAAGAAGGAAAAAGAUAGCAGUUGUCAAUAAAUUUCCAAUAAGAUGCAUCAGUGUUACCAAGGGAAGAAGAACAGGUUCAGGAAGGUAUUCAUACCCUUUUACAAUGCUCAAUAACAACACUGACACAUCAAUAUCUAAGUCUAGGUCUAACAAAAAUAAUUGUGGGUACUUUGGCUGAAUCUAACAUAACGUGGUAGCGGUUUCCAUGAGAUAGUUGCCAUAAAUAUUGGCCUAGACAAUCAGCAUAUCACAUUUCCCAGGUUGUGAUCAUUGGUUCUGAGUGAGUAUAUGAUCAAAGUUGAUAGAAUCAGAGUGAAUCUCAGAGCUCUCAGGGAACUAUUAGAAAAGUGGCUCUCUUUUUCUGCUGUUUCUGUGAAGAUGUGAGAGGAUGAUUCCUUUAAAUAUGUGGUCUCCACAAGGUUAGAGCCAGUUGGAUAAUGCAACCAACACAGAGAAGGGAGCCAAAUGAUGAUGAGGAAGAAACCAGUUUUGGGUGACAUCAUUUAGACCUCUGCAUCAAAAAUUGCUUGAAGGUUAGUGUAUACCUGACAUUUUCAGUUGUAUGAGCCAAUCCAUUUUUUUAUUGUUUAAGCCAGGUUGUGAUUGAGUAUGUAUGUUUUCCUCACUGGCAGCUGAAAGAGUCCUAACCGAUUUACCAUCUAACAGUGCUUGUCACACUUCAUUAUUAUUGCUUAGGAAAGGUCUGACUGGCCUGCCCUGGUGGUCUAGUGGUUAAGAUUUGGUGUGGUCUGGUUCAUUUCCCAGUCAGGGAACCACAUCACCCAACUGCUGGUUGCCAUACUGUGGAGGCUGUGUGUUGCUGUGAUGCUGAAGGCUAUGCCAUUGGUAUUUCCAAUAUGAGCAGCAGGGUCAUCCAAGGUGGACAGGUUUAAGCAGAGCUUCCAGACUAAGACAGACUAGGAAGAAGGACCUGACCCCUGACCUCCAAAGAAAUUGACCAUGAAAACCGUAUGAAUAGCAGCAGAACAUUGUCUGAUAUAGCGCCGGAAGGUGAGAGGAUGGUGCAAAAAGACCGGGCAGGGUUCUGCUCUGCUGUCCACAGUGUUUCUUGGAGUUGGAAUGAACCCCACAGCACUAGCAACAAGAUCUGACUUCCUUGCUAGGCUAUAACUUCCAUGAGGGCAGGACCACGUCUCUUUUGCCCAUUGUUGCAUCCCUAGUACCUACCAUAAUUUUAGCACAAAGUUGGUGUGUAAAUAAACAUUUUUGAAUGUGAAUAUAUUAUUUAUUAUGCUUCUUGAUAAAUCUAAUAUUACAGCAUUUUUGUGUUAUAAACAAUUUGUUCCUCUGUAGUCUUUGAAGAAAAAAUUCCCUCCUACAUCCCAGAUCUAAUUUCCCUAUUUCCUAUACUGAUCUUGAUACAACAUCUUGCCACUCUGGUUGUUUUCUUUUCUACUUUACUACUUUUUCUACUUUAGCAUUAAAUUGAAUCAAAACAACUCUUUUUUGUCUGUUGAUUUCUUACCAGUCACUCCCUGUUUUUCUAGCCAUUACCUUGUCUGUGUUCACAUAACACUUUUUUUUCCCUAAAAUCAGCUUUUUUCAAUUGGAAAUGCAUUUCUUUUUUCUUUUCCUUUUUUUUUGUGAGGAAAAUUGGCCCUGAGCUAACGUCUGUGCCAAUCUUACUCUUUUUGUUUGAGGAAGGUUGUCCCUGAGCUAACAUCUGUGCCAGUCUUCCUCUAUUUUGUAUGUGGGAUGCUGCCACAGCAUGACUUGACAAGUGGUGUGAAGCCCACAGCCAGGAUCUGAACUUGCAAACCCCAGGCUGCUAAAGUGGAGCACAUGAAGUUAAUCACUACACCACUGGGCCAGUCUCACAAGAGACAAGGAGAGAGAACCCACCAAGCCUCUGCAAUCUGUCAUACUUUCCUAGAUGAAUAUUAAAUGUUAGGGAAAAAGAGAAACAGGCAAGUAUUAGAAGAGGAGUUACCAAAAAAGGAUUUUUAUAAAUUUGGAAACUAUUCACUGGUGACAGUUGGCUGUAACUCUAUAACUAGCCCUAGGAAAUAGUAAACCAUUGUCCUACAUUUUACCAGAAAGUCUUCACCCUGAGGUGGAACGUGUCUGAGAGAAUUCUUGAACUUGGAUGUUGGUAUUAACUAAGUAAGAUUACUGAAAGAAGAAAGAUGUUGUAAUAGUAAGUAUAAGCAGAUUAUAUACGACCUUUAUUUAUCAAGAUAAAGGUGAUGGAAAGUAAAAAUAUGCCGCUGUAUGUUCACUAUUACACAAGGAAGAGAUAACCUGAGCCACUGAGAUGAACACCCUGGUUGCUCCAGCACUUACACUCCCUGGAGUGAGUAAGGCAGAAUCAAAAAUAUCCUUCAUUUCAGUUUACCCUGAAUUGAUUGUCAUUAAGCAGAAGUCUGAUUAUGAAUUAGACUUCUCAAGUAUCUUCAUUCUAGGAAGGUGAAACUUUGAUUAUCUGACUGACUUAUAUGGUUAAUCCAGUGGGUAUCGAUUGAUUGUAAAAUGAUAGGUCUUCUGGUUGACAAAUCCACUUCGUAUUGCCUAAGUUAUCAUGAGUCCAUUCCUUAGAAUCUGGUUUCCUUUAAAGUGAAUUUGAUCUUCUCACUCAUGUAGCCUUGGAACAUAGAAGAGAGCCAACCUGAAAGACCAUGUCAACUUUGCAUGAAACAUCACUAACUCAGCCCUCUUGGAGAUGACCAGCAGUGCAUUGAGGAGAAUCAGACUGCAGCUAUAUCUUGAGGACAGAGGCAUGCUAAGCAGCCAUUUAAGAUGUCCUCUUUAAUGAUGAGUGUUUCCUCAUUGAAUGGAGCUGUAAAUUGAUGCCCUCCUGUUGGACUCUUUGGUGCUCCUUUUAGCUGUCAUUUGCUGAUCUCAGGGCUGCAGGACAAACUGUGGGGAAUCAUGCAGGUGCACGGCUCCUGGCUUUCAGAAGGACUUGGAAUAUUCUAGUUGCCUCUUGGAACAAUUUAAAUUGUAAGCCCA